rnacentral:rRNA from 1 species
AUACGUAGGGUGCGAGCGUUGUCCGGAAUUACUGGGCGUAAAGAGCUCGUAGGUGGUUUGUCGCGUCGUCUGUGAAAUUCCGGGGCUUAACUCCGGGCGUGCAGGCGAUACGGGCAUAACUUGAGUACUGUAGGGGAGACUGGAAUUCCUGGUGUAGCGGUGACAUGCGCAGAUAUAAGGAGGAACACCGGUGGCGAAGGCGGGUCUCUGGGCAGUAACUGACGCUGAGGAGGGAAAGCAUGGGUAGCGAACAGGAUUAGAUACCCUGGUAGUCCAUGCCGUAAACGGUGGGCGCUAGGUGUAGGGGUCUUCCACGACUUCUGUGCCGUAGCUAACGCAUUAAGCGCCCCGCCUGGGGAGUACGGCCGCAAGGCUAAAACUCAAAUGAAUUGACGGGGG